GACGAACGCUGGCGGCGUGCCUAAUACAUGCAAGUCGAACGAGAGCAACCGGUGCUUGCACUGGUCAAUCUAGUGGCGAACGGGUGAGUAACACGUGGGUAACCUGCCCAUCAGAGGGGGAUAACAUCCGGAAACGGAUGCUAAAACCGCAUAGGUCUUCGAACCGCAUGGUUUGAAGAGGAAAAGAGGCGCAAGCUUCUGCUGAUGGAUGGACCCGCGGUGCAUUAGCUAGUUGGUGAGGUAACGGCUCACCAAGGCCGUGAUGCAUAGCCGACCUGAGAGGGUGAGCGGCCACAUUGGGACUGAGACACGACCCAAACUCCUACGGGAGGCAGCAGUAGGGAAUCUUCCGCAAUGGACGCAAGUCUGACGGAGCAACGCCGCGUGAGUGAAGAAGGUUUUCGGAUCGUAAAACUCUGUUGUUAGAGAAGAACAAGUGCUAGAGUAACUGUUAGCGCCUUGACGGUAUCUAACCAGAAAGCCACGGCUAACUACGUG
rnacentral:rRNA from 1 species